ACAGAAUCUCCUGAAGUGAACAGACAAACACCAUUGUAUAGUACCAAAUGGAUUACUAUCAAUGGAACAAAAUAUAAAGUAGGAGCUACUGUCCACAUUGGUUAUGAUGAUGUUGAAUUUCCCCAGUUUUGGGAAGUUAUUGGUAUUUAUAUCAUUAACCAAAAUGUUGCAAAUGCCAUGUUUGUUGUUUCAAGAAAACAGACUGUCAGGUUUUCUGAACAUUAUCAGGCUUAUGAAGUUGCUCAGUCAAAACAGAAGGAAAUUAAAAUUAAAUAUUUUAAAGAGUUAACCUCACAUUUGCCAUUUAACUUGAUAAAGCCAUUUGGGUGUAACACAAAAUACAUUUGCCAUAGAUAUGAAAUAGAUGUAGAAUAAAUUUUACUUUCCUGAA